AGACAUUAAAGUGGAUCAAGUUACCCAGAGCAGCUGCCCCAAGCUCUUACUUCACCCACAGCCCUUCAGUAUCCAGUAAGUUCAUAGCCCAGCGUGAAAGCAAGGGGCCCAGUGCACCCAUUAGUCAAGCCGAGGAAGGCAUGGAAUAAUAAUGAACGCACCUCACACGCAUGAGCAACUAAAACCCCCUCCACCACCGCCGCCGCUGCCACCGGGAGGGAGAUUUCUCUGUUUCCGGUGCUGUGAAGUGGACCAACUGAAAUAGCAGAAAGCAAAAAAUCACUUCUUGCUUAUUUCUGUCUCCCAAAGGUUGUUAAAGUUUCACCUUACAUCUUGUAGCCAUCAUCUUUAUCCAUAUUUGUCAUCAUCAUCAUUAAUCCCCAUGGUUACGUCACUGUAAUCGUAGGCCAGCACUUGGUUUGCUCAUCUGUCUAUGAGCUGCUGAGUUUGAGGUGAAAGGUCUUUAUAAGUCUAGUAAAAGCUUUCACGUUUGUCUAACAUUAACUGUAUGAUUAUGUAACCAUAUUAUAUACUUUACUGUUGUGCAAACAGUCUAAUCAGACCAGUGUUGUAACUACAGGGAGAAACUGUGCUGCCUCCGGCC